rnacentral:rRNA from 1 species
AGGCGUAAUACCGCAUAAGAUCUACGGAUGAAAGGAGGCCGUCGUUCUUGAAAGCUUUCGCUAUUAGAUGAGCCUAUGUCAGAUUAGCUAGUUGGUAGGGGUAAGUGGCCUACCAAGGCGACGAUCUGUAGCUGGUCUGAGAGGAUGAUCAGCCACACUGGGACUGAGACACGGCCCAG